CUAAACACAAUCCAUGAGACAUAACUAUCAUUCAGAGUUCGCAUCCAUUAGACUUCAGCUAGGGAAAAUAUCCAAGCCUAGAACAAGAUGUUGCUUUUUACUGUGUCUUCUAUAUUACCUCUCUAGUGGUUUUUUGAAGACUCUUUGACAUGAAAUACAUUCACCUGGUGAUUCAGAUUCUAAUCUACUGCUAAUUGAAAGAAGACUUAAACCUUCAGUACUCCGCCUCUAAGACUGUUCAUAACUAAUGGAAUUCUAUCAUGAGAGCUGCAGGAAGCACCUUUGACCACACCCUGACUGCAGUGGGAGACAUUGUCGGGCUCAGCGGCUGCCACCACUGGAGAGACAAAUGCAAGCAGUUUGAUCAGAAGUAUCUGAGCAAGCUGCUAAUGAGGAAGUCUGUGUACCGCAAGGGUGAGCUAUGGGACGCGUACUAGAAGAUCAACAUCAGAGAUGCCAUAACCAUCAUUGACCAGGUAAGAUUUUCCUAUUUAUCGUAAAAUGGGAUGAGAUGUAUUCCAGUGACCCU